UUGGAGUCUCAGAGAGUUGAUCCUGGCUAGGACGAACGCUGGCGGCGUGCUUAACACAUGCAAGUCGAACGGAAAGGCCCUGCUUUGUGGGGUGCUCGAGUGGCGAACGGGUGAGUAACACGUGAGUAACCUGCCCUUGACUUUGGGAUAACUUCAGGAAACUGGGGCUAAUACCGGAUAGGAGCUCCUGCUGCAUGGUGGGGGUUGGAAAGUUUCGGCGGUUGGGGAUGGACUCGCGGCUUAUCAGCUUGUUGGUGGGGUAGUGGCUUACCAAGGCUUUGACGGGUAGCCGGCCUGAGAGGGUGACCGGCCACAUUGGGACUGAGAUACGGCCCAGACUCCUACGGGAGGCAGCAGUGGGGAAUAUUGCACAAUGGGCGGAAGCCUGAUGCAAGCAACGCCGCGUGCGGGAUGACGGCCUUCGGGUUGUAAACCGCUUUCGCCUGUGACGAAGCGUGAGUGACGGUAAUGGGUAAAGAAGCACCGGCUAACUACGUGCCAGCAGCGGC
rnacentral:rRNA from 1 species